AAAAGGAAAAACUAUAAAACGACACGAUACCCCAUAGGUCAGCAGAACGUGGCGUUUAAUUGGUCUUCCACAACAAGCUGAAAAGAUCUUAAUACCGUCAUGCUAACAAAAUAAUAUUUUAUAUUAGGACAUAGACUCUGCUGCGGUAUUUCAUUGGCUGGCAAUCAUUGUCACGGUAGCAACGGACGGUCGUGCCAAGUCCAUAACGACUGAUCGUCGUGGACUACCAUAAAACUAUCCAUCUGAAAUUUUCCACUUAACAACGGCUGAUUACAAGUCACAUUCCAAAA
rnacentral:lncRNA from 1 species